rnacentral:rRNA from 1 species
GAUGAACGCUGGCGGCGUGCCUAAUACAUGCAAGUCGAGCGAACAGACGAGGAGCUUGCUCCUCUGACGUUAGCGGCGGACGGGUGAGUAACACGUGGAUAACCUACCUAUAAGACUGGGAUAACUUCGGGAAACCGGAGCUAAUACCGGAUAAUAUAUUGAACCGCAUGGUUCAAUAGUGAAAGACGGUUUUGCUGUCACUUAUAGAUGGAUCCGCGCCGCAUUAGCUAGUUGGUAAGGUAACGGCUUACCAAGGCAACGAUGCGUAGCCGACCUGAGAGGGGGAUGGGCCACCCUGGAACUGAGACAGGGUCCAGAAUCCUACGGGGGGCAACAGUGGGGAUUUUUCGGCAAGGGGCGAAAGCUUGACGGAGAAACGCGGGGGGAGUGAGAAAGGGUUUCGGAUCGUAAAACUCUUUUAUGAGGGAAGAAAAAAGGUUUAAGUAACUUGGCACUUCUUGCCGGACCCUAAUAAGAAAGCCCCGGCUAACUACGU